rnacentral:tRNA from 1 species
AGAUAUAAAAAGAACUUCUAAUUCUUAAAAAGCUAUUAGCUAUAUCUA